rnacentral:lncRNA from 1 species
GGGGGCGGCGCGGGCAGGGCCGGUGCUGGCCGCCGGCUGGUCGCCCAGGCCGCUGCCCGGGCCGCGCAGCGGGUACCUGAUGUCUGUGCGACGCUUUGCUGGGGAGCGCCAAGUUAGAGAGCUCUUCUCUGCCCUGGCCUGUUGCUGGUCCUCCCACAACUUAAUGAGAUGAGAAACAAGGUUUGCCUAUUGAACUUGGGCUCAAACUGACUGAGGGAAAUAGGAGCUGAAAUGAGCAGCGUUGCACACAGACCAGGAACAUGCAGGCAUGGAACGAGUUGCAAAUUGGCCUCUAUGGAUGCAGGAUGCAAACAGUAGGUGGUGGAAAAAAAUCAUCGGCCUGAUACAGAACUCUAACAGAAAGGGAUCAUUCAUAUGAUACUCUCUUGGGCAAAGAAGGGGCUAUCAGUUUUUCAAGUCUGCAUUCUGAGAACAGAUACUGAAGGAGUGAACUGCAUCUGAUCAUCAGGUCAAAUUUGAGCAGGGGAUUGCCUGAAAAUGAAGACUGGACACUUGACUCUUUUUGUUCAUGGGAAAUGCAAGAGAAUGUGCAUGUGCAGGACAGCAAACGGG